rnacentral:rRNA from 1 species
GACGAACGCUGGCGGCGUGCUUAACACAUGCAGGUCGAACGGAAAGGCCCUGCUUUUGUGGGGUGCUCGAGUGGCGAACGGGUGAGUAACACGUGAGUAACCUGCCCUUGACUUUGGGAUAACUUCAGGAAACUGGGGCUAAUACCGGAUAGGAGCUCCUGCUGCAUGGUGGGGGUUGGAAAGUUUCGGCGGUUGGGGAUGGACUCGCGGCUUAUCAGCUUGUUGGUGGGGUAGUGGCUUACCAAGGCUUUGACGGGUAGCCGGCCUGAGAGGGUGACCGGCACAUUGGGACUGAGAUACGGCCCAGACUCCUACGGGAGGCAGCAGUGGGGAAUAUUGCACAAUGGGCGGAAGCCUGAUGCAGCAACGCCGCGUGCGGGAUGACGGCCUUCGGGUUGUAAACCGCUUUCGCCUGUGACGAAGCGUGAGUGACGGUAAUGGGUAAAGAAGCACCGGCUAACUACGUG